GAACGUCGUGAGACAGUUCGGUCCCUAUCCGUCGUGGGCGUAGGAAAUUUGAGAGGAGCGGUCCUUAGUACGAGAGGACCGGGAUGGACAUACCUCUGGUGUACCAGUUGUCGUGCCAACGGCAGAGCUGGGUAGCUAUGUGUGGACGGGAUAAGUGCUGAAAGCAUCUAAGCAUGAAGCACCCCUCAAGAUGAGAUUUCCCAACUUCGGUUAUAAGAUCCCUCAAAGAUGA
rnacentral:rRNA from 1 species